UACAGAGGUCUCAAGCGUUGUUCGGAUUCAUUGGGCGUAAAGAGCGUGCAGGCGGCCAGAUAAGUCCGCUGUGAAAUCUCGAGGCUCAACUUCGAGCUGUCGGUGGAAACUGUCUGGCUAGAGUCCGGAAGAGGAGAAUGGAAUUCCUGGUGUAGCGGUGAAAUGCGCAGAUAUCAGGAAGAACACCCGUGGCGAAGGCGGUUCUCUGGGACGGUACUGACGCUGAGACGCGAAAGCGUGGGGAGCGAACAGG
rnacentral:rRNA from 1 species